ACAAGCCCCUACUCUUCAAUGGUACUGUCCAGAUCAAUGGAAUUAAAGAAACAUCGAAAAAAGAAAGAAAAAAGUGGACAGUGGUUCUGGUGACAUGGUAUCUUAGCUCCAAGGAUCUUGUAAAAUGGAAGUGAAGUAUCUUUGUAAUCUAAAGCUCUUUACUUUGGUCUCCAUUGAGGCAAAAAUGAAAAUUGGAGAACUAGGUUCAUGAGCACUGGUCAAAGGAAGAAGGAAGAACAUAAAGAAAGAAUCAAAGGAAGGGUCAAGAGGAUGGACAAAAAUGGUAAAAAAAUUAUAUCUAUAUAUAUAUAUAUAUAUUGGAAAAGGCAAGUUGGAGCUAAGAAAAACCAGAAAGAGAAAGAGAGAGAGAGAGAGAGAGAGAGAGAGCACGUGGGCUUAGGUAAGGUGACGAUUAAUGGGUAUAAAUAUUUUCUGGGUUAUAAGCCGUGCGGGAAUGAUUAGGUCGUAAUUGGAGCCUUUGCUGUAAAAAAAGUUAUUAGGAAAAAAUCGUCUGGUCCUUCAAUCCAUAGGGGAAGAAUUCUUGUAAUGGAGAAAUAAUCAUGCUUCUCUUUCUCUUUUUCUUCUUCUUUUUUCACUUCUAUCUAUGCUCUUUCUCUUCUUUUUAUUAAUCAUAAAUUGAUGGACUAUUUAUUUUUCUUUUUUCUCAAAAAAA
rnacentral:misc_RNA from 1 species